UGAGGCAGGAGAAUUGCUUGAACCCAGGAGGUGGAGGUUGCAGUGAGCCGAGAUUGCACCACUGUACUCCAGCCUUGGUGACAGAGCCAGACUCCGUCUC
ensembl:miRNA